rnacentral:rRNA from 1 species
UUAGUGGCGAACGGGUGAGUAAUACGUGAGUAACCUACCUUUAACUCUGGGAUAAGCCUGGGAAACUGGGUCUAAUACCGGAUACGACCGAUCUCCGCAUGGGGUGUUGGUGGAAAGCGUUAUGUAGUGGUUAUAGAUGGGCUCACGGCCUAUCAGCUUGUUGGUGAGGUAACGGCUCACCAAGGCGACGACGGGUAGCCGGCCUGAGAGGGUGACCGGCCACACUGGGACUGAGACACGGCCCAG